UACGGGGGGGGCAAGCGUUGUUCGGAAUUACUGGGCGUAAAGGGCUCGUAGGUGGCCAACUAAGUCAGACGUGAAAUCCCUCAGCUUAACUGGGGAACUGCGUCUGAUACUGGAUGGCUUGAGUUUGGGAGAGGGACGCGGAAUUCCAGGUGUAGCGGUGAAAUGCGUAGAUAUCUGGAGGAACACCGGUGGCGAAGGCGGCGUCCUGGACCAACACUGACACUGAGGAGCGAAAGCUAGGGGAGCAAACGGG
rnacentral:rRNA from 1 species